GAGAGUUAAACAGUACGUGAAAUUGUUGAAAGGGAAACGAUUGAAGCCAGUCGUACCUUCGGGGAUCGAGAUUGAGGAUUGCAACGGAUACCCUUCGGGGCUACCUGUCUGGUCUCUGAUCGUUGCUCUGGUGCCGAAAGCUUGCUUACGGUUAUCAAAGUCGAUGGUCAAUAGGUUAGAACGGGUUAAAUUCGUUAAGGAUGUUGACGUAAUGGCUUUAAACGACCCGUCUUGAAACACGGCUGUCUCUUAU
rnacentral:rRNA from 1 species